UCAAAUGUGCAGGAAAUAAUUAUUCUACGAUGUCUUUGCCAGUCUUUUGAGCCUGAAUCACUGUUGAGACCUUAUUAAACAAUGUAAUGGCUUGGCUCAGAAAAUAAUUUUAUGACGUCUUUUAAUUCAAGUUUCUUAGUUUUUACAGUUCAAGUACUUUUCAGACUACUCUGGUUCUCUUCCAAAUUUAUAUGUGAGAUUCUUGAUAGGAGAGAAUUGUAAAUACAAUAAGGAACAUCAGCCUUAGCAUAUUUGUUAAUGUUUAUUUGGCCCUCUGGGAAAUAGGCCAGUAAAUUUUUAUUGUUUACUUUGAGGGGUUAUUUUAGUGAAAGUGACCCAAAUCAAAUCAAAACAUUUAAAUACCUACCCCUUGGGUUAUGGAUGAAGUGCAUAUGGAAACCACCCAAGCUUUAGGUGCUGCUAUUAGUGACAGAAAUAGUAACUGCUAACACAUUGUUUAUUCUUUGCCAGAAACUUUUAUAUUUGAAAAUACAUUCAAGGAGUUUCCUAGUGGCCUAGCAGUUAAGGACCCAGUGUUGUCACUGCUGUGGCACACGUUAGACCCCUGUGGCCAAAAAUAAAAUCCAUUCAAUUCUUGUAACCACUUUAUGAGGGAGAUGUAUCAUUAUUCCCAUACUAUAAGGUAAGGAAACGGAGUCACAGGGUUAAAAUAGCAUACCUAAUGCCGCAUAACUAGUAAGGGGAGGAGUCAGGACUCAAGCUCUGGUAAUUUGAUUGCAGAACUCACACUCAGUAAUUACAUCUACAACCUCUGUCCUAUAGUUAACAAGAGGUAGAGGAGACAAAAUUAAAUAUUAAGCCCUAAAAUGUUCAAAAUGAUAGUGAUACCUUCCAAAGAAAGUCUUAAAGUUAGGUUUGUAUGUGAAAGUACCAUACUAAGCACAAAUUAGUUUCUCACAUAUUCCAUGAUGGUACUACUGUCCCAUUGUAAGGAGGCAUGCUCUGACAAGUGUUUCGGUAACACAGGAUGUGGGAUGUUUAUGUGUUCUUGUCCCUCAGUGUGUAUGUGUGGUCCAUGGAUAUACUUGUAGCUAUAUGAAUUCAGUCGGCCUUUAAUAGUGUCCUCCCCUGAGAAAACUGUCCAGAAUAAAGCCACACAAUCUAUAGGUCACACUUGGUUGUACUGUUUUUGAGGUAUCAGCAUCAAACAGCAUUGUCAUCUCACUUUACAUGUCUCUGGAAGCUAAUCAAAAUCUAAAGGAAAAUUGACCUUUUGUAACUAAAAGACCACAAACAAACUAUACAUUUAAAUUGUAAACUUAGUUUGCAAAUUACCUAUCCCUAAGCUAUCAGAUAUACCAUUUUCUUAGUAUUUCAUGUCAAUUUAAAGAAUUGGACUUCUGGCAAAGCUUAAUAAUCAUUAACUUCUUUCUGUCUUACAGAGCAAUUCCAGGCAGUAUAUAGCAAGCUCUUACACAGCCUUCAGACAUACUCUUGGGUAUUACCUCAGAGAGGCAACCUCGUCCCCCCGCCAUUUCACAUACACAGAAAAUUGAUAGCUCCCGUUUCUGUUUUAUCAACCCUGUAGUCGUUUCAUUAUUGCUUAUGUGGCCUCAUAAUUGUGAUUAUUUUCUUCCUUAUUUCUCUAAGAUUAGCCUGUAAGCCUAAAAGGCUUGAGCCCAGGCAGUUAUCUUAACUUAUUUGGUGACUAAUGUAGUAAAUAGAGCCAGUGACUUCACAUAGCACUCAGUAUUAUGUUAGUUCCCUUCCUUACUAUGGAAUACAUUGAUACCAAUAUUAGUAUGACUACUCAAAACAACUUACUUUUUAGAUAGCCAGAGUUAGACCUUACUUUUCAGUGGAAUUCUCCUAGUCUCAAUUAAGUCAAAUCUAUUUCCAGAUUACCAAUAUCACAUUUUCAUUGAAGGAUCAGAUGGAAAGAGAAAUGAAAAACAUGAAAUAGUUCUUGCCAGGCACUUAUUUUGACAUCACCACUGCCCCCACCAAAAAAAAAAAAAAAAAAAAAAAAAA
rnacentral:lncRNA from 1 species